CUCCUUUCAGCCACUCGCUCCGCGCAGUCAGCUCUGCUGACUCUUCCGGAGGAUUCUGGAAGGUUCCAGAGGGUGUGCCGCCGAGGCCCUGCGAGAGGGCGUUCCCUGGGGAGAACAUUCCAGAGCAAGGUAACAUCCAUAAACGGAGGCUGAAACGGCCUGAGACGUCCCGGGAGUAACGAAGACCCCAAGGCGGCCCCAACUUGAGGGGGGCGAGAGGUCCAUACAAGCUCUGGGCUCAGCCAGAGCAGGGCAGAGAAGGGUCACAGGAUGAAGAGGACAGAGGGCAGAGAGACGACCGGAUGGGAUGACCAGCUGCAGAGAGGAGUACCCUCUCCACUGAGAACAGCAGAAGGCAAGACAACCUGUCCACAGAGAGGAGCUACCCUCUCUGCUGAGAGCUUCAGAGACCUGCAGAGACAUCUGAAUGACCUGCCUGCAGAGAGCAGCUUCCCUCUCUGGGGCCUCCUCUCUGCUGAAAGCUGAACACUCGAGAGACGACCUGCCUACGAGAGGAGCCACCCACUCCUCUGAGCUGUUCUGACACUAAAUACAACUUUUCUUCUUCACGCUUCACUUGUCUGCGUACCUCAUUCUUCCUAGACGCAGGACAAGAGCUCUGGCAAAGGCGCUGCAGCCACAGAGGUUUCCGGCCGGAAAAAUCGGCACCCCAGAGAUCCCAUGAGAACGUCACGUACAGCACUGAGACGGAGCCCUAAUGAAAACUGUGGCUCUGGGUGAUAAUGACGUUACUGUGGGUUCAUCAACUGUAGCAAAUUCGCCCUCUGCUGGGCGUUGUUGGAAAUGCAGAGGCUCUGGGGGGUCAGGUAUGUGGGAGCUCUCUGUACCUUUCUUGUAAUUUGAUGUGAACUUAAAGCUGCUCCAAAAAGAUAAAAUCUUGAAGAAAAGCGAAAAAAAAAAAAAGGAAGAGAGGAAAAAAUGACAGGCAGAAGGUCACGCCUGGCCCCUCAGUGCGCGUCCUCAGGCCUCUGCUCCCAGCUGGGGCUGGCAGGUGGUCGGGGGGGCACCCAGCUCCUCCACUCCCCACGCCCACCACAGCUUUCAAAGUUAGGAACACAGGCAGGGUGGAGGUGAAGUCCGAACAGAAAGAGGAGACUUAAGGGAGGGCGAGCCCUGACUUUGUUUCGUUUUUCCGAGGCGACAUUCGGUGCAGCUUUCUGGGUCCCCAAGGCUGACCCUGCUGCACCAUGAACCACACGUCCACACCCUCACUGUCUCCCGCUCAUGACAUCAGCUCACCUGAGACUGUCACCGAAGGCUCUUUAACGUGAAAUGAGUGGUUUUAACUAUUUUUAAGUACACAGUUGUGUGGCAUUAAGUGCAUUCACUAUGAUGUGUGGCCAUCACCAUCGUCCACCCUAGAACCCCUUCAUUUUCCCCAACAAAUUCUGUCCCUUUAAGCAAGUGCUCCCCAUCCCCCACCCCCUUCUACCUUCUGUCUCUGUGAAUCUGAUGACCGUCAGUCUCUGAGCACAGCCAUACCAUCGUGGGCCUUUUGUGUCUGGCUUACUUCACCGAGCAUAAUGUCCUCAGGGUUUAUCCGCAUUGUGGCAGGUGCCAGAAUCCCCUUCCUUUUUUAAAGGCUGAAUAAUGCUUUACCGUAUGGAUAGACCACAUUUUGUUUAUGCGUUCAUCCGUUAUCGGACGCUUGGGUUGGACCAUGUUUAGUGGGUGUGAAUAAGGCUGCCCUAAACACGGGUGCACAGGCAUCUGCCCAAGUCCCUGCUCUCAGUUCUUUUUGAGAAAUACCCAAAAGUGAAAUUGCUGGGUCAUAUGGCAGUUCUAUUUUUAAGGUUUUGAGGAGCCGCCACACUGUCUUCCCCAGCGGCUGCCCUGUUUUACAUCCCCUCAAGCAAUGUAAAGGGUCCCGGUGUCCCCACAUCCUCCAGUUUCUCCACAUCCCGAGCACUUGCUGUCUUCUAUUUUUGAUACUUGUUACCCUAAUGGCUGUGAGGUGGCACCUCAUUGUGGUUUUGAUUUGAAUUUCCCUAAUGACCUGUGAUAGUGAGCAUCUUUUCAUGGGUUUAUUGGCCAUUUGUAUGUCUUCUCUGAAGAAAUUGUCUAUUCAAGUCCUUUGACCAUUUUUGAAUCGAGCUGUUUGUUUUUUUGUUGUUGAGUUGUGGGGGUUCUUUAUACAUUACUGAAGGCUUAUUUUUAUGGUCCAAUAAUUCUUUAUAGCACUGGGUGCUCGCUAGCCAGAUGCCGUGAUUAUUUAUGGCCUGGGACUGCGGGUACACAUGUCUCCAUUUGGAGGCUCAGCCAACGUUUCUAGGUCUGUUAACUUGAAUUCAUCUUUUAAAUUGAAAAAAAGAUUUAUUUUCCUCCUUAUAACAGUCAAAUCUCCGCCUUUCGUGUUUCCAGGGCCAAGUACUAUCUGGGGGUAAAAUGUUAAAGCUCAGUGAGAAAUCCCUGGAUACACGGAGGUUACAUUUCAAAGGCCAGACCCCUGGUGAGAGCAGAAUAAUAGUGUCAUAAAUGGCGAUGUUGUAUUGUGCAGUUGAUAAAUUGAGUAAAUAUUUGCUAAAAGCCAGGAAACCCCCACAGCAAUAAGGACAAAUGAUGUUCAUCAAAAUGGCAGCCGUUUACUCAAGAAUUAGGCAGAACCCACGGCGGGAUGGACACUUGGACGUGCUCUCGGGACGGGCUGGCUAGGAAAGCUACAGCUGCAGAUGGAGCUGGGAACCUCGCCCUGCCCUGAAACCCAAGGGAAAAUCAGACUCCGAGGCACCGGUCGCCCUAAACCACCACAGAUGGGGUUUCCACCUUCCUAGGAAUAAGAGUGGAAUAUGCACCUGGGGGUGCAGCUUCGCCUUCCGCACAACAAGGGUCAGCGCCAAUGUUUCCCUGAGAUUCUCAGAGACCCAGAGCGCUGCCACCAGCGGCCUCCUGCCUCCCUGGAGCUCUUACCUCCCGCUCCCUCUCUCCGUCCAGGUGCUUACUUCUGGGAACUAAUCACUCAGUUUGUCUGAUUUUUUACUUUUAAAUCUCUUUCAAACCAUUGGUGCCUUUGCAGCUUCUUGUAGCCACCGUCAGAGCCAGGCAGCAGGGGAGGAGGAGGCUUGGACUGUGGUGCAGAAAACCCCGUCCAGCCUCACUUGCCUUGGGAAGGCUUUGAAAGGAUCAUUUAUACACUGGAGGAUUCCAUGAAGACUUUUUUUGGCCACCCUGAGUGGUUCAAGGUUCACCCUGUCUCUGUGAGGCUCGGCCUUGCCUUCUUUCAUCAAAAGAAAAACAGAAGCCAAGGCUGAGGCCUUGCUGACCGGUCCCUCCCGAGUCCCUUCCUAACUGGAAACGAUGAUUCAGUCCAGAACUCCGCCUGCUCAGUCCCUGCUGUAAACUUCGUGGCUCUCUUUAAGUGCUGCUAGAUGCCAAGCCAGGGAGACAGCCUGUAUCAUCAGUGCAGUCGCCCUGGGGGUGACACCAGGGAUGAUUAUGUAAAUUCUCAUAAAACCCACAGGCAAGUUUUGCUGCGGCCCGGCCUCCGGAGUCCUCCUGGUUGUAAGGGAAAGCACGAACUUGAGCGUGAAGACUCCAAAGCAGAAAAAAAGCAGAGCUCAGGAGGAAGCCUGCAGGGAAGGCCAAACCCUCCUGUGUGUGGAGCGGAGGUCAGGCUGGGGCGGGCGGCCACAGCUCCCCACCCUGGCCGCACCCCAGCCUGCAGAUCUGACAGAUGCAGGCCCCACUGCACCUGACAGUGCCGUGCUCAAAUUGCUCACUCAGCAAUGACAUAUUGGUGACCUGCCGGCAGCAGGCACUGUGGACAACACGUGGGGAGCACUGAGCAGGGCUACCUGCAGACGGCCUGGAAGCUCACCUUGGGCCGACUGGCAGCAGGUCACAUGGCCUCUCUUAAUUAAUCUAAUUUCCCACAAGGCAGCCGGGGGUUAUUCCAGGCAAACCUGAAUUCCUGCGUGGAACCUCAGGUGCCAACACCUGCACAUGUAAGCGGUGUCCAGGCUGCACCCUGGAGCCCAACCCUGGACCCCUUUGGGAUGGUGAGACCCUGGGCCUCACCCUUCUCACCUCUGAGUGAGGCUUCUCCCCUGACCCUGUUCCUUGUACCCCACCCAGAUGUUUUGGUAUUUUUCUGUACCCACAUCUCCACACACACAGUGGCACUUCUCACCAAGGACUUGUAAUCACAGAAAGCGAUGGACAGAGGCAGACGCAGCAAGGGUGAUGGGAGCUGGCGGAGAAGAUGGUCCAGGGUGCAGGGGCACCACAGAGGUUGUGACAUCACCUCAGGGUCCAAGACGUGCUUCCUAGGGGCCCCCUGGCGGUCUCCAGGAUGAGGGGUGGGCAGUGUGGGAGACCCCCAGGCAAAGGAGUGGCAGACAUUGACAGAAAGGAGUGGCAGACAUUGACAGUGGAAGGUCUGCGGGGAUGUGGGGGAGGUGCGCCGGGUGGGGAGGGGCCGCAGGCAAGGCCACAGUGUCCGGAUGGUCCUGUGAAGGAAGGGAGCCCCCAAACACAUUCACGUAGGGCAGUGCUGUGGGCAGAUGCAAAUUUUCAGAGUGUUCGCUGGAGAUGGAGGGGGCCGGACCACCCCCAAGUCUCAGGAGAAGUCACAGGGGAGGAGACUCUGGGACUCUGGGUUCAGGUAAAUACUUCGGGUUUGGCGUUGAUGCUCCUUUUGGGCAAUCUGUAGACUGAGUGACACCUGUCUCCCUGUCCACUCCCCUCCUACCCUUGUGAUUAUCCAUCAGUAUUUAUGGGCCUGGCUGGUCAGACCAAGCAGGCCACAGCACAGCAUGGAGCUCUAGGCCUCUGUGCGUCUCUGGUGUUUGGAUCCUAGGACCUGAAGGUCCAGGGGAGAAGUCGUCUGGGGGGUUGGGAGGCUCAGGGAAGAGGCUGCUUCCUGCUGUGGACUUGAUUAGCAGCCCCAUGGACAGUCACUGGACUGUUAGCGAGGCAGGAGUCCAGAGGAGCCAGGGUGACACCAUUUUAAAAUCAGCACCGUCUUAAACUAGCAAGGCACACUCCUUGCCACACACAAGCCAUGGUCCUAAGAUGUUUACAGCUAAGGAAGCAGCUUGGUGAUGCCUGCAAAGCAAACUCCAAGAACAGAAAGUCCAGACGUCCAAUACCCAUAAUUAGGUCUAUGCUUUCAAGAUAGUAAGAGUCAUGCUAUGAUGACUGACACACUAAAAUGUCAAGGAUGGUUUUCUUUAAACCAAUAGAAUGAUAAACCUUGUCAUGCUCUCUGCUCAGCUGCACAUAUGCACAGCUUCACUUCGCUUUGCAGACAAGACUUCUGUGUAAGAAAAAUGGAAAAAGAAGUUGGUGUGUCCUCUGCUUGCUUUCUGCUCUGUAACAGAGUCAUUUCUAAUAAACGUGCCUCUUUCACUGUG